GUUUGAACUUCUUGCAUGUCAAGCCGUUCAAGCCUAGUCUGAAAGGUCAGGAGGGCGUGCUAUUCGGUCUAGGCCUGAACGGCUUGAAGGGCACGUUGUUCAGGC
rnacentral:pre_miRNA from 1 species